rnacentral:rRNA from 1 species
ACGGGAGAGUAAUGCUUGGGAAUCGGGCUUAUGGAGGGGGAUAACUACGGGAAACUGUAGCUAAUACCGCGUAAAAUCUUCGGAUUAAAGGGUGGGACCUUCGGACCACAUGCCAUUCGAUGAGCCCAAGUGGGAUUAGGUAGUUGGUGAGGGGAGGCUCACCAGGCCGACGAUCUCUAGCUGGUCUGAGAGGAUGACCAGCCGCUCUGGCACUGAGACACUGACCAAACUCCUACGGGAGGCAGCAAUGGGGAAUAUUGCACACUGCGGGCAACCCUGACGCACCCAUGCCGCGUGAAUGAAUAAGGCCUUCGGGAUGUAAAGUUCUUUCACUCUGUUGGAAGGCAUUAACUUUAAUAAACUAAGUGAUUGACGUUAACUACGUAUCAAGCCCCGGCUAACUCCGUGCCUACAUCCGCGGUAAUACGGAGGGUGCGAGCGUUAAUCGGAAUAACUGGGCGUUGGGGCACGCAGGCGCGUGACUUAAGUGAGGUGUGAAGACCCCGGGCUUAACCUGUCAAAUUGCAUUUCAUACUGGGUCGCUAGAGUACUUUAGGGAGGGGUAGAAUUCCACGUGUCCCGGUGAAAUGCGUAGAGAUGUGGAGGAUACCGAAGGCGAAGUGCAGCCCCUUGAGAAUGUACUGACGCUCAUGUGCUGAAAGCUCGAGAGAGCAAACUAGCAUUAGAUACCCUGAUAGCCCACGCUGCCAAAC